AUGAGAUCCCUGGCACAUAAACAGAAGAUCCUUGAGCGCUGACAAGCAGUGUAUGUGAAUAUUAGAAAAGCAGAAGGAGGAGCAUGUUCCAGUAAAUACUGCCCUAACCCACUUUCACAAUAUCUGAGCAGAGAUUGGAGGCAGAGCGGUGACAGCCAAUGACUACAAUCAUUUUCUUUAUUCAUAUCAUCGUCACCAUAGAGAGUUCACAAUGUUAUCUUGGACACAGUUGCCAGUGAUGCUUGUGACGUUAUCUAAUCAGUUCCUGCUAGACGAAGGCAGCCACCCAAUCCAUCCAUGGGAACCUCUGGAAUCUUCCUCCGAUACCAAACUUCAGCUUCACUUGGAUUUCAUUUUAUCCUGCAGUGAUGUACACUGACCAGGCAUAACAUUUUAUUUACUACAAAUGCAUAACAUCAUUCAUUCCUUCAUUUUACUCUUCCUUUGUGAGAUGCAGUUUGAAAACCUGAGAUCCUUCACAGCAGGAAACGUUCUCACCAUUCUUCUGUCCUCUCCCCCCUAUGUUGUGUUUUUCCUCCUCCCCAUGUGCUUCCUAAACGUGUGGCUCACGCGAUUGGUUGCAGGGGGCGGAAAGUUGGCCAAUAGGAGGGCAGUUACCAGGCAGCCUGAGCCGUGUUUGGAGGCUGACUGGAGGCUCUCACAGCUGUUUCAUUGAAAAGCAGCAGGCCAUAAUAACAAGGGCCUCUUACCAUGCACACAUGGGGACUAACUCACGCAAAAGACACACAGAGAAGACUUGGUGCCAACAAAGUGAAGUUAUCUGCACAACUUCAUCUGCACUUCUACAUAUAUAAAUGCUGGUCUUUCAUGGCUGAUGGUGGUGUACACACUACUGUACUUGUUUGUGUUGUCAAUUCUUCUAUUAAUGCACUAAAUUAAAUCUUCAUUCU